rnacentral:rRNA from 1 species
UACGGAGGAUCCGAGCGUUAUCCGGAUUUAUUGGGUUUAAAGGGUGCGUAGGCGGCCUGUUAAGUCAGGGGUGAAAGACGGUAGCUCAACUAUCGCAGUGCCCUUGAUACUGAUGGGCUUGAAUGUGCUAGAGGUAGGCGGAAUGUGACAAGUAGCGGUGAAAUGCAUAGAUAUGUCACAGAACACCAAUUGCGAAGGCAGCUUACUAUGGUAUUAUUGACGCUGAGGCACGAAAGCGUGGGGAUCAAACAGG